rnacentral:lncRNA from 1 species
AUGAGUGCAAAGGCUGCAAUGGACAGUGAAUGCACUGAUAACCAGUUUGGUGCUACAGGAAAGCAUUGCCUUUCAUUGAUGGAGAUUUUGAUGGACUUAGGAGUCAGUCCAACUGCCUUGGCUAAGGGGUCAGGAAAGAUUUCUUCACUCCCAGAAAAAGGCCCUGGAAGAACAAAAAUAAGGAAUUGGAAACGGAGGAUGGAAGGAAAAGGAGCACUUGCUGUUCUUUGAAAGACUGACUGUUCUACGUAGGUGAAGAGUGACCAGGAGAGGAGAGAGUCAAGAAAUGAAAAUCAU